GCAAACUUGGUCAUUUAGAGGAAGUAAAAGUCGUAACAAGGUCUCCGUUGGUGAACCAGCGGAGGGAUCAUUACAAGGCGUCGAAAGACUCCCUUUCAUACCCAUUGUGAACUUUUUUUCAUUCAGUUGCCUCGGCGGGCGACCCCAGGGGAGGGUCUUUGCCAGUCUCUGGUGCUCGCCGAAGGACCUACUACUCUAUACUAUACUGUAUCGUCUGAGAUUACAGCGCAAAUCAUCAAAACUUUCAGCAACGGAUCUCUUGGCUCUAGCAUCGAUGAAGAACGCAGC
rnacentral:misc_RNA from 1 species